rnacentral:rRNA from 1 species
UGGGACAAGCCCUGGAAACGGGGUCUAAUACCGGAUACUGACCCUCGCAGGCAUCUGCGAGGUUCGAAAGCUCCGGCGGUGCAGGAUGAGCCCGCGGCCUAUCAGCUUGUUGGUGAGGUAAUGGCUCACCAAGGCGACGACGGGUAGCCGGCCUGAGAGGGCGACCGGCCACACUGGGACUGAGACACGGCCCAGACUCCUACGGGAGGCAGCAGUGGGGAAUAUUGCACAAUGGGCGAAAGCCUGAUGCAGCGACGCCGCGUGAGGGAUGACGGCCUUCGGGUUGUAAACCUCUUUCAGCAGGGAAGAAGCGAAAGUGACGGUACCUGCAGAAGAAGCGCCGGCUAACUACGUGCCAGCAGCCGCGGUAAUACGUAGGGCGCAAGCGUUGUCCGGAAUUAUUGGGCGUAAAGAGCUCGUAGGCGGCUUGUCACGUCGGUUGUGAAAGCCCGGGGCUUAACCCCGGGUCUGCAGUCGAUACGGGCAGGCUAGAGUUCGGUAGGGGAGAUCGGAAUUCCUGGUGUAGCGGUGAAAUGCGCAGAUAUCAGGAGGAACACCGGUGGCGAAGGCGGAUCUCUGGGCCGAUACUGACGCUGAGGAGCGAAAGCGUGGGGAGCGAACAGGAUUAGAUACCCUGGUAGUCCACGCCGUAAACGGUGGGCACUAGGUGUGGGCAACAUUCCACGUUGUCCGUGCCGCAGCUAACGCAUUAAGUGCCCCGCCUGGGGAGUACGGCCGCAAGGCUAAAACU